UCAAGAAUUCAACCAUUACUCUUUGCCAGCUUUUGCAGACCGUAAAGGGAGUUGCAGAAGCUGCACCCGUGCUGGAGACUGAUUAUGAUAAAAGGCUACUUAUUCAUAUAUCUUACAGUCCCAGGAGGUGGACAUGUAGAAAUUGUGUGCUGUCUUCGAAUAUUACAUCAAGUAGCAUACGGCCUUGUGAUUUUAAAAUGGGAAGGGUCUUAAGUUCACUUCGGACAUUUAGGUGCACAUAUAACUUCAACCUCAGCUUUCCCAUAUGUCAUGAAAAUGCAUCAAAUGCCUCAACGUUGAGUUCAAUUCUGCGUCAUGGAAUCUCAGUUCAUGCAAAAGAGCUAAGAAGUGCAAAUGCUUUAAUUGAUGGAAAUUUGGUUGUUAAUGAAGAACCUUGCACUACUGACGAUUUGCAUGAAGUUGAAUUGCUUCUACCAUUCAUGAAGAAUACACAGGCUGAAGCAUGCAGUCAAAUGGAUGUUGUUGGUGUUCUUAUGUUCAGUGGGUCUGUGUGCUCCUUUGCAUACUUGAAUUCAAAAGAACCAGUAUCACAGGCUGUUGCUGAUAUAAAGGAUGAUAUCAUCAGGAGUUUACAAAGCAGACUGGAUAUCAUCUGUGAUGAAGCAGAUGAAGAUGUGGGUCCGGUAGAUGAUGAUGGUGGGGAAGCAAGCCAUGAAAAACUGCCUGAAAAACCUGUUUCCAAACUUGUCCCGUCCUUAUUGAGGAAAACAUGCAAUCUUGCAUUUCCUCGAAGAGUAUUUAUUCCUUGGUUGGCUGGUACAUUUAUAUGUGACUACUUACAACCCUCUGAGAAACUUGAGGUCCUAAAAGAUCAUUGUGUUGAGUUGAUGUCCAUGGAAACUCCAACUGAUACCUCGGCAAUUCUCCAACCAGAAAUAGAAGCUCCAUCAGUGAUAGCUAAAUCUUUUUGGGAUGUUGCAGUCCUAGGUCAUUCUGCAUCUAGCUUUUCUGUAGAGAAGAACAGAAUGAUCGACACAAGUGGUGUGGAUAGUAGCAGGGAAAAUAUCAAAUCAAUAAACUUCAACAUUUUGGCUGCAGUUUUCUUCCUUCUCCUUUCUAUCUUUGUGGGUUUUGUGCUUCUCAAGCGAUCUUAGUCUCUGAGGGGAUUUUUCACUUAAAAAAUUAUACGGGUUUGGUUAGAGUGCCAUGUUUGUUAUUAUAAUUUUCAUUUCAAGGUUAUGGAGUGUCUGCUUGUUGGGUGAUCAUAGCCUCUUGAGUGAAUUUUGGCUUAUAAAUGGCAUGGGAUAAGUGUUUUUUAAGUGAAAAAUCCCCUCAGAGAC
rnacentral:misc_RNA from 1 species